rnacentral:rRNA from 1 species
UACGUAGGUGGCAAGCGUUGUCCGGAUUUACUGGGCGUAAAGGGAGCGUAGGCGGAUUUUUAAGUGAGAUGUGAAAUACCCGGGCUCAACUUGGGUGCUGCAUUUCAAACUGGAAGUCUAGAGUGCAGGAGAGGAGAAUGGAAUUCCUAGUGUAGCGGUGAAAUGCGUAGAGAUUAGGAAGAACACCAGUGGCGAAGGCGAUUCUCUGGACUGUAACUGACGCUGAGGCUCGAAAGCGUGGGGAGCAAACAGGAUUAGAUACCCGGGUAGU